CAGACGAUGACAGAACAUGCAGGAUGAACCUGGAGGUUCUGAUGAGCAAACGGCAGGGCAGUGAUUGAAGACGGGCCAUGAGAGCCAGAAGAGAGGCCAGGAUGGUGUCUGCCUGUUCACCAUGCACAGUCAUAAGGCCAAGCAAAGGAAGUGGAAGAAACUGAUAUGGAAACCUCAAAGUGCAGAUAAAUUACCGCCGCCGUUUCAAACCCUGCUCUGUUCUCCCGCUCACGGUCCUGCUGGAUGUAGGUCGUAGUCAUUAGCAGAGGUAGAGACGCCCGCAGGUGAUUCAUCACGUCUGACGCCGCGAUGCAGCGGUGACAGAGGAAGCUGUUGCAUUAAGGUGUAAUGCAAAUAAAAUCCCACGAGAGAGAGAGAGAGAGAGAGAGAGAGAGAGAGCAUCCGGCUCCUCCGUGCUUCUGCUGCGCUCCUCACAUUUCACCGUGUGUGUGUGAGUGUGUGUGUUAUAGUGUAGUCGUGCAGGGGAGUUUUGAAACUGAUUGUUUUUUUUGGUGAUUCCAGGAGUUAAUUUGGGUUUAGGACUAAAAUUAGUGUCAGAUUAGAACAGGGUUUA